rnacentral:snRNA from 1 species
AUUUGGUGUGAGUAUGUAAAUGAUUUUUACUGAAGGUAGCCCACAGAGUAUCUUAGCUGAACGUGAUUAUAUAGUAGGCUAAGACGUGUUUGAGCGUUAAUCAUAAUCUAGAGUGCUUGAAGAGAUGAAGCAUUUCAAAUUUCACGAUGAUAGUAUUGGUAUGAUUAUUCCAAUUAUGUUAAAAGAGUGAAUUUGAUAUUAAUCAUCCUUCUUGAAUAUAGGUGGUACCACGG